rnacentral:piRNA from 1 species
UUCUGCUACUACGUCCUUCGCGGACCCGU